CCAUAUCACAUUGAAGCACCAGUUCCCAUACAAUCACUGAAGUUAAGCAACAUUCAAUCUGGCCAGCAGCUGGACGUGUGACCACUUGGGAAUACCAAGUGCUGUAAG